UCGAUGAAGCCGGGGCGUGAGCCAUCCGGUGGAGAGAUCACUAGUGAGAAUGAUGACAUGAGUAGCGACAAACAGGGUGAGAGACCCUGUCGCCGAAAGUCCAAGGGUUCCUGCUUAAAGCUAAUCUGAGCAGGGUAAGCCGACCCCUAAGGCGAGGCCGAAAGGCGUAGUCGAUGGGAACCAGGUUAAUAUUCCUGGGCCAGUUAGAAGUGACGGAUCUCGAAGGUAGUUCAUCCUUAUUGGAUUGAAUGGGCUGCUAAGAGGUUCCUGGAAAUAGCUCUAACAUGAGAUCGUACCCUAAACCGACACAGGUGGAUAGGUAGAGAAUACCAAGGCGCUUGAGAGAACGAUGUUGAAGGAACUCGGCAAAAUACCUCCGUAAGUUCGCGAGAAGGAGGCCCGGUUCCAAGGCAACUUGGAGCUGGGGGCACAAACCAGGGGGUGGCGACUGUUUACUAAAAACACAGGGCUCUGCGAAG
rnacentral:rRNA from 1 species